CAAUAGCGUAUAUUAAAGUUGUUGCAGUUAAAAAGCUCGUAGUUGGAUUUGUGGUGUACUUCGGCGGCCCGUCACUAUGUGAUGGAGCUUGCUGAAGUCGCCAUCCUUGGGUGGAUCCUGUGUGGCAUUAAGUUGUCGUGCAGGGGAUGCCCAUCGUUUACUGUGAAAAAAUUAGAGUGUUCAAAGCAGGCUUAUGCCGUUGAAUAUAUUAGCAUGGAAUAAUAAGAUAGGACCUUGGUACUAUUUUGUUGGUUUGCGCACCAAGGUAAUGAUUAAUAGGGACAGUUGGGGGUAUUCGUAUUUCAUUGUCAGAGGUGAAAUUCUUGGAUUUUUGAAAGACGAACUACUGCGAAAACAUUUACCAAGGAUGUUUUCAUUAA
rnacentral:rRNA from 1 species